CAGUUCCAUUAACCAUGUCUAGAUCUAGAUUCUCAAGGCGGCAUGUGAUCAAAACAAUUUCAUCUCCCUCCUCCCAUGCAUUGGCUAACAAGGAGUCAGAAAAGAAAGGAGGCUAGAUACCAAAAUGGAGCUUCCAAUUGUAUAUUUCUAUGCAAUUGAGAAUUAGGUGGGAAAGUUUACUGAACCCGCAAGCUCCUACAGACAUUUCUGAAGUCAUCUUAUCAAGAUAUGUGAGAAACAAAACCACAUUUCUGAAAUCAUCUCUCAAGAUAUGUGAGAAACAAAACCAGAUAUUUCUGAAAUCAUCUUCUCAAGAUAUGUGAGAAACAAAACUGCAUUUCUGAAAUCAUCUUCUCAAGAUAUGUGAGAAACAAAACCAGAUAUCUUAUUCACCGCAGCAGAGGUGUAAUACACACCAGGAGGAAAGGGGAAAACAGAGAUUUGGGAGUAACUCUUUUCUGUUUCAGUGCUUGAAAAUAAUUCCGGUUGCUUGAACAGCAUCAAUCCACUGGAUAGAUGAUUUCUUUUAUUCAUUUUGUUGCUUGUUUUUUUAGAGAAGAUACCAAAUGGUUGUGCUGAACUUGAAGAAAAGCACUUCUCAAUGCUCUAUUGAAUAAGUGCAACUCAUGAGUUAGAAAUAUUUUUUUGUAAUCUUUUAUCUAUUGUGAAAAGCAUAAACAAGUCCUCAUAUUUUGUCUA